GUCCACCACAAAUACAAAGUGCACUCAAAUAAAAGAUAUCGAACAGGGUUAUUACUGUAAAAUACCAACAAAAAUGAAAGAAAAUACAAAUACGGAAGCAUUGUGCGGGAGAGAGAAGAAAAGGAAAACUGCCGGUCGCACACGAUCUGCAGACGACGAGAGAAACUGCCAGGCGCACGAUCUCAACACAAACAGAGACUCGGGUCACUCGGGGUACAUAUGGUUCCAUCAGUACUCACCCCUCUCCCAGUUUACAGUUCAUACAAGUCGAACAUAAACACAGAAAAAGGAGCAGAGUGAAAUCAAACGCAAAAGGAGGAGAAUAUUAUUAUCAUUGAGUUCGUAGAAAAAGCAAAUUGGUUUUCGUUGAUUAAAGCAUAAACAGAAGUCCGAGAAUUGGUGAAAAAAAACACAGAGAUAGCCUACUUGCAGUCAGACCAUAUUGCUAGAUUGGCUCCUCUACUCAUUGGUACCGAUAGAACAAACACAGCGAUAACUAAAACUCUGCUCAAUCAGGUACAAUCUCUAAUGUUCCUCAGGUAAUUUGUAACAUCAUAUAUCAUUUGUGAAGCAGAGUAGGUACUAUUUAAGAUUGAGAUUGAGACAGACUGCAUCCAGGAAGCAAAGGCUCAAGCAAUGACGAUCAUAAGCUUGAGUGAAGAUGUAAGGAAAAGUUGAGAAGCUUCACGUUACUUUGUGAAACUAUUUAGCCAUGGCUCCAAAAUGAUAGAAGAAAUGAAGGAAGAAAAAGCAAGAAGAGUGUGAAAGUGAGUGAGGAGGACAUUUGGUCGAAGAAGCAUGCAAAAUUAGAAGGUGGG